UACGUAGGGGGCGAGCGUUGUCCGGAUUUAUUGGGCGUAAAGAGCUCGUAGGCGGUUCGAUAAGUCGGACGUGAAAUCUCCACCGCUCACCGGGGAGGGGCCGUUGGAUACUGCAGAUCUGGAGUUCGGUAGAGGGUCGUGGAAUUUCGGGUGUAGCGGUGGAAUGCGUAGAUAUCCGAAAGAACACCGGUGGCGAAGGCGACUUUCUGGCCUGUUCUUGACGCUGAGGCGCGAAAGCUAGGGGAGCAAACGGG
rnacentral:rRNA from 1 species